GCCGACAUGAGCUGCAGCGUCGUCGAUGCCAGGGCGUGGUCGCAUCGCGGCCGCCUCGCCUGCCUCGUCUACCUGCGGGACGAGGAUGUGGCCGUCGCCGGUGUGGAGCGCAUCGAGGCCCGCCUCGCCCCCCUCCUCCGCGAGACUCGGAAGCCAGCGGCGGCGCCGUGGCUGCCGUCCCCGCCGGCUCCAUCCCGCACGCCGACCGGCGUCUCCACCAGCUCAUGUAUGCCAGCGGCGACCAGGAGCGCGCAUUCCCAGCUCCCUCGGUGUCUGUCAAGAGCUAGGCCGAGCGCGGGUACUCGGUGUUCAACGUCCAUUCCACAAUCAUCUCUUGUACAGUGGCUGAGGAAGAUCCAGGAAAGCAAGAGCUGCGCAAGAGGGGGCAGGAUCAGGAAGAAGCACGGUGAUGGAACCUUAGCAGUAGACCAAAUGCAGACAUGUACAUAAGGGGAUCCGAUUACGAUUAGAUGAUGCAGACCGUGUCCUUGUCCAACAAAACUCAAUCGAGUGUUUGACCCGGAUUGUUCUUUUUUGCUAUAAGAAGGAAGAGUACUACGCUGGAAUCUCCAUCACGUUAAUUGUCGACGAAACAUCCAAUGUUUCCGCCGAGUUCGCAGCAGGAAGGAGCUCCGAGUUCGCCAAUGUCUCCUGCGGCGUCUACACCAGAGAUACGACAGUUAAGAGCGUCACGGGAGGAAGAAGCUCCGAGUUCGCCGGAGGUACACAAACAUCCGUCCAGCACUCCAAUGUCGCCUACGGCAUCUACACCAGAGGAGCGGGUGAUUGAUGGGCCAAUUAUGCCAGUAAUGUCCUUAAUUUCAGAGAAGAUGCAAAACAGAUAACAUGGAUGAGCUUGAAUACUUGCCGGUAGUGUAGCUUUCUGCUGGACCAUAUAUUCUGCCCGGAGAAGUUUCAGUGACCGAUGGAAGCUUUGAUGUAUUCUUUUCAAGCAAAAGUAAUCGUCUAUUACCCAUGUCAGGUUUCGACUCAAAUGGGCCGUCCUGGCUCAAAGAGGAUCAUGGCACCACCACCUGUGAACUUCGUUCCCGCUCCCGUUGGCUCUCCCCCUCCGAUCAACAUGCAACAUUAGUUCCAUUCCUGCUUUUAGCUAUUUGCAUAAGUAUAAUCUGCAUUAUUGUUCUCUUUCUCAAUGCUGAGCAAUUGCAGGCAUGUAAGGUUCAACGAAAUUGAGAACCUACACAUAUACAAUAGAGGUUGGGACGCAAUGACAAAGGUUUUGUGUGCUCGCAUCAAACAUACUCGGAGU